AACCUACGGGGGGCAGCAGUAGGGAAUCUUCCACAAUGGGCGAAAGCCUGAUGGAGCAACGCCGCGUGGGUGAAGAAGGUCUUCGGAUCGUAAAACCCUGUUGUUAGAGAAGAAAGUGCGUGAGAGUAACUGUUCACGUUUCGACGGUAUCUAACCAGAAAGCCACGGCUAACUACGUGCCAGCAGCCGCGGUAAUACGUAGGUGGCAAGCGUUAUCCGGAUUUAUUGGGUUUAAAGGGGGCGCAGGCGGAGGUGCAAGUCAGCGGUCAAAUUGC
rnacentral:rRNA from 1 species